GAACCUGAGAGUUUGAUCCUGGCUCAGAACGAACGCUGGCGGCAUGCCUAACACAUGCAAGUCGA
rnacentral:rRNA from 1 species